GGGUGAGUAAUGUCUGGGAAACUGCCUGAUGGAGGGGGAUAACUACUGGAAACGGUAGCUAAUACCGCAUAACGUCGCAAGACCAAAGUGGGGGACCUUCGGGCCUCAUGCCAUCAGAUGUGCCCAGAUGGGAUUAGCUAGUAGGUGGGGUAACGGCUCACCUAGGCGACGAUCCCUAGCUGGUCUGAGAGGAUGACCAGCCACACUGGAACUGAGACACGGUCCAGACUCCUACGGGAGGCAGCAGUGGGGAAUAUUGCACAAUGGGCGCAAGCCUGAUGCAGCCAUGCCGCGUGUGUGAAGAAGGCCUUCGGGUUGUAAAGCACUUUCAGCGGGGAGGAAGGCGAUAAGGUUAAUAACCUUGUCGAUUGACGUUACCCGCAGAAGAAGCACCGGCUAACUCCGUGCCAGCAGCCGCGGUAAUACGGAGGGUGCAAGCGUUAAUCGGAAUUACUGGGCGUAAAGCGCACGCAGGCGGUCUGUCAAGUCGGAUGUGAAAUCCCCGGGCUCAACCUGGGAACUGCAUUCGAAACUGGCAGGCUAGAGUCUUGUAGAGGGGGGUAGAAUUCCAGGUGUAGCGGUGAAAUGCGUAGAGAUCUGGAGGAAUACCGGUGGCGAAGGCGGCCCCCUGGACAAAGACUGACGCUCAGGUGCGAAAGCGUGGGGAGCAAACAGGAUUAGAUACCCUGGUAGUCCACGCCGUAAACGAUGUCGAUUUGGAGGUUGUGCCCUUGAGGCGUGGCUUCCGGAGCUAACGCGUUAAAUCGACCGCCUGGGGAGUACGGCCGCAAGGUUAAAACUCAAAUGAAUUGACGGGGGCCCGCACAAGCGGUGGAGCAUGUGGUUUAAUUCGAUGCAACGCGAAGAACCUUACCUGGUCUUGACAUCCACAGAACUUAGCAGAGAUGCUUUGGUGCCUUCGGGAACUGUGAGACAGGUGCUGCAUGGCUGUCGUCAGCUCGUGUUGUGAAAUGUUGGGUUAAGUCCCGCAACGAGCGCAACCCUUAUCCUUUGUUGCCAGCGGUUAGGCCGGGAACUCAAAGGAGACUGCCAGUGAUAAACUGGAGGAAGGUGGGGAUGACGUCAAGUCAUCAUGGCCCUUACGACCAGGGCUACACACGUGCUACAAUGGCAUAUACAAAGAGAAGCGACCUCGCGAGAGCAAGCGGACCUCAUAAAGUAUGUCGUAGUCCGGAUUGGAGUCUGCAACUCGACUCCAUGAAGUCGGAAUCGCUAGUAAUCGUAGAUCAGAAUGCUACGGUGAAUACGUUCCCGGGCCUUGUACACACCGCCCGUCACACCAUGGGAGUGGGUUGCAAAAGAAGUAGGUAGCUUAACCUUCGGGAGGGCGCUUACCACUUUGUGAUUCAUGACUGGGGUGAAGUCGUAACAAGGUAACCGUAGGGGAACCUGCGGUUGGAUCACCUCCUUACCUUAAAGAA
rnacentral:rRNA from 1 species